AUUGAACGCUGGCUGCAGGCCUAACACAUGCAAGUCGAACGAGUGGCGUACGGGUGAGUUAUGUCUGGGAAUCUUCCUGAUGGGGGGGGAUAACUACUGGAAACGGUUGCUAAUACCGCAUACCAUCAGAUGUGCCCAGAUGGGAUUAGCUUGUUGGUGGGGUAACGGCUCACCAAGGCGACGAUCCCUAGCUGGUCUGAGAGGAUGACCAGCCACACUGGAAGUGAGCAAAGGUCCAGCCUCCAACGAGAGGCACCGGAGGGGAGCAUUGCAGAAUGAGGGCAAUCAGGAUGCGGCAAUGCGGUGAUUGUGAAGUGUACCUUCGGGUUCUAAAGUACAUUCGACGCGGCCAAGUUACCAGCAGCAGAAGCAACGGCUAGCUCUGUGACAGCAGCCGCGGUAAUAC
rnacentral:rRNA from 1 species